GGUCGCUUAGCUCAGUUGGUUAGAGCGUGGUGCUAAUAUUAACAAAUGUUAACGCCAAGGUCGCGAGUUCGACCCUCGUAGUGACCA